AACGAACGCUGGCGGCAUGCCUAACACAUGCAAGUCGAACGAGACCUUCGGGUCUAGUGGCGCACGGGUGCGUAACGCGUGGGAACCUGCCCUUAGGUUCGGAAUAACUCCCCGAAAGGGGUGCUAAUACCGGAUAAUGUCUUCGGACCAAAGAUUUAUCGCCUUUGGAUGGGCCCGCGUUGGAUUAGCUAGUUGGUAGGGUAAAAGCCUACCAAGGCGACGAUCCAUAGCUGGUCUGGGAGGAUGAUCAGCCACACUGGGACUGAGACACGGCCCAGACUCCUACGGGAGGCAGCAGUGGGGAAUAUUGGACAAUGGGCGAAAGCCUGAUCCAGCAAUGCCGCGUGAGUGAUGAAGGCCUUAGAGUUGUAAAGCUCUUUUACCCGGGAUGAUAAUGACAGUACCGGGAGAAUAAGCUCCGGCUAACUCCGUG
rnacentral:rRNA from 1 species